ACGGAAGGCAGCAGUGGGGGAUAUUGCACAAUGGGCGAAAGCCUGAUGCAGCAACGCCGCGUGAGGGAAGACGGUUUUCGGAUUGUAAACCUCUGUCUUUGGUGAAGAAAGAAAUGACGGUAGCCGAGGAGGAAGCCACGGCUAACUACGUGCCAGCAGCCGCGGUAAUACGUAGGUGGCGAGCGUUGUCCGGAAUUACUGGGUGUAAAGGGAGCGCAGGCGGGAAUGCAAGUUGGAUGUGAAAUACCGGGGCUCAACCCCGGAGCUGCAUCCAAAACUGUAUUUCUUGAGUGAAGUAGAGGUAGGCGGAAUUCCGAGUGUAGCGGUGAAAUGCGUAGAUAUUCGGAGGAACACCAGUGGCGAAGGCGGCCUACUGGGCUUUUACUGACGCUGAGGCUCGAAAGUGUGGGGAGCAAACAGGAUUAGAUACCCUGGUA
rnacentral:rRNA from 1 species